rnacentral:rRNA from 1 species
GAACGCUGGCGGUAUGCUUAACACAUGCAAGUCGAACGGAAACGAUGUUAGCUUGCUAACAGGCGUCGAGUGGCGGACGGGUGAGUAACGCGUAGGAAUCUACCAAAUAGCGGGGGAUAGCCCGGAGAAAUCCGGAUUAAUACCGCAUAAUCUCUACGGAGUAAAGAGGGCCUCUAUUUAUAAGCUUUCACUAUUUGAUGAGCCUGCGUAAGAUUAGCUUGUUGGUGAGGUAAAAGCUCACCAAGGCAUCGACGGGUAGCUGGUCUGAGAGGACGAUCAGCCACACUGGGACUGAGACACGGCCCAGACUCCUACGGGAGGCAGCAGUGGGGAAUCUUGCGCAAUGGGCGAAAGCCUGACGCAGCGAUGCCGCGUGGGGGAUGAAGGCUCUCGGGUCGUAAACCCCUUUCAGCAGGGACGAAAAUGACGGUACCUGCAGAAGAAGCCCCGGCCAACUACGUGCCAGCAGCCGCGGUAACACGUAGGGGGCAAGCGUUGUCCGGAUUUAUUGGGCGUAAAGGGCUCGUAGGCUGUUCAGUAAGUCAGGUGUGAAAACCCAAGGCUCAACCUUGGGACGCCACUUGAUACUGCUGUGACUAGAGUUCGGUAGAGGAGAUUGGAAUUCCUGGUGUAGCGGUGAAAUGCGCAGAUAUCAGGAGGAACACCAACGGCGAAGGCAGAUCUCUGGGCCGAUACUGACGCUGAGGAGCGAAAGCAUGGGGAGCAAACAGGAUUAGAUACCCUGGUAGUCCAUGCCCGUAAACGUUGGGCACUAGGUGUGGGGUCUAUUCAACGGAUUCCGUGCCGCAGCUAACGCAUUAAGUGCCCCGCCUGGGGAGUACGGUCGCAAGACUAAAACUCAAAGGAAUUGACGGGGGCCCGCACAAGCAGCGGAGCAUGUUGCUUAAUUCGAGGCAACGCGAAGAACCUUACCUAGGUUUGACAUGUACCGAAAAGCCAUAGAGAUAUGGUGUCCUUCGGGGCGGUACACAGGUGGUGCAUGGCUGUCGUCAGCCCGUGUCGUGAGAUGUUGGGUUAAGCCCCGCAACGAGCGCAACCCUUAUUCUAUGUUGCCAGCACGUAAUGGUGGGGACUCAUAGGAGACUGCCGGGGUCAACUCGGAGGAAGGUGGGGACGACGUCAAGUCAUCAUGCCCCUUAUAUCUAGGGCUGCAAACAUGCUACAAUGGCCGGUACAAAGGGCUGCGAGACCGCGAGGUUGAGCGAAUCCCAUAAAGCCGGUCUCAGUUCGGAUUGGAGUCUGCAACUCGACUCCAUGAAGCUGGAGUUGCUAGUAAUCCCGGAUCAGCAACGCCGGGGUGAAUACGUUCCCGGGCCUUGUACAC